AAAGAUUAAGCCAUGCAUGUCUAAGCAUAAACCGAAUAUGGUAAAGCCGCGAAUGGCUCAUUACAACAGCCAUAGUUUAUUGGAUCUUAGAGUCCUACUUGGAUACCUGUGGUAAUUCUAGAGCUAAUACACGCAAUCAAGCCCCAACCUUACGGGCGGGGCGCAUUUAUUAGAACAAAACCAAUUGGCUUCGGCCAUAGCUUGGUGAAUCUGAAUAACUACGCUGAUCGCACGGGCUUGUCCCGGCGACGUAUCCUUCAAGUGUCUGCCUUAUCAACUUUCGAUGGUAGUUUAUAUGACUACCAUGGUUGUAACGGGUAACGGAGAAUAAGGGUUCGACUCCGGAGAGGGAGCCUGAGAAACGGCUACCACAUCCAAGGAAGGCAGCAGGCGCGCAAAUUACCCACUCUCAGAACGAGGAGGUAGUGACGAAAAAUAACGAGACAGUUCUCUAUGAGGUCUGUCAUCGGAAUGGGUACAAUCUAAACCCUUUAACGAGGAUCUAUUGGAGGGCAAGUCUGGUGCCAGCAGCCGCGGUAAUUCCAGCUCCAAUAGCGUAUAUUAAAGUUGUUGCGGUUAAAAAGCUCGUAGUUGGAUCUGCGGUCACAGACGCUGGUUUCCUUCACGGAAUACUGGUUGUCUUGACCUACCUUGCUGGUUUUCCCUUGGUGCUCUUUACUGAGUGCCCUGGGUGGCUAGCACGUUUACUUUGAAAAAAUUAGAGUGCUUAACGCAGGCUUUUGCCUGAAUAGUGGUGCAUGGAAUAAUGGAAUAGGACCUCGGUUCUAUUUUGUUGGUUUUCGGAGCACGAGGUAAUGAUUAAGAGGGACAGACGGGGGCAUUCGUACUGCUGCGUUAGAGGUGAAAUUCUUGGAUCGCAGCAUGACGAACAACUGCGAAAGCAUUUGCCAAGAAUGUUUUCAUUAAUCAAGAACGAUAGUUAGAGGUUCGAAGGCGAUCAGAUACCGCCCUAGUUCUAACCGUAAACGAUGCCAACUAGCAAUCCGUCGGCGUUAAUUCUGACUCGACGGGCGGCUGCCCGGAAACGAUAAGUUUUUCGGUUCCGGGGGAAGUAUGGUUGCAAAUCCGAAACUUAAAGGAAUUGACGGAAGGGCACCACCAGGAGUGGAGCCUGCGGCUUAAUUUGACUCAACACGGGAAAACUCACCCGGCCCGGACACUGUAAGGAUUGACAGAUUGAAAGCUCUUUCACGAUUCAGUGGGUGGUGGUGCAUGGCCGUUCUUAGUUGGUGGAGCGAUUUGUCUGGUUAAUUCCGAUAACGAGCGAGA
rnacentral:rRNA from 1 species